rnacentral:rRNA from 1 species
GUGCCAGCAGCCGCGGUAAUACGUAGGGGGCAAGCGUUGUCCGGAUUUAUUGGGCGUAAAGAGCGUGUAGGCGGCCAGGUAGGUCGGUUGUGAAAACUAGAGGCUCAACCUCUAGACGUCGACCGAAACCACUUGGCUAGAGUCCGGAAGAGGAGAGUGGAAUUCCUGGUGUAGCGGUGAAAUGCGCAGAUAUCAGGAAGAACACCCGUGGCGAAGGCGGCUCUCUGGGACGGUACUGACGCUGAGACGCGAAAGCGUGGGGAGCGAACAGGAUUAGAAACCCUAGUAGUCC